GCGCCCUGAAAGAGCCCCGGGGUUCACAUGACCUUUUAUACUAACACUGUUGGUAGUAUUUUGUCAACUGAUACAAGCUAGGGUCAUCUGCGAAGAGGGAACCUCCAUCACAUUGGCUUGUAGGUACCCUACGUUCUGAUGGCCCCCUGCCCUCCUACAGGCUGUUCUUGAAGAAUCCUGUUAGUGAAGAUUUCAGUUCACAGUGGGAAACUGACGGGUUCCUGUGGCAUUCAUGGGUAAAGCCAAGAGCCCCAUGAGAUAGUGUGCAACUCUGUCUCUCUACUGGAAGAGUCUUCUGAAACACGGAGUGAAUGGAGCGGACCAUGAGAGUCCACAGCUAGCAGAUGAUGAAGCCCCAUCUCUUUGCCUCAAUACCGUGUGCCUGGGGUGUCUCUCCACACUGACAUCUUUGAAGAUACAACGCCACAGGAGUGUCAUGAGUCUAUUCUGGGCAUGGCUGAGGUCAUCCAUCCAUUCAUCCAACCAAUGCUUACAGAACACAUACUGUGUGCCACUGUGCACAGCUGCAGUGUUUUCUAAAAAAAUGAUGUAAUAUAGCCAUCACCUAAUACCUACCAUUUUAGCUGCUUUUAGCAUGGCCCAUUGGCAACAAGUGCAUUUAUACUGUUGUGUAACCAUUGUUACAGACUAUCUUCAGAACUCCCUCACCUUUUAAAAAAUGAAACUCUGUAUCCAUUAAACACAGUCUCUCAA
rnacentral:sRNA from 1 species